rnacentral:tRNA from 1 species
GCACCCGUAGCCUAGCCUGGAUAAGGCGACACCCUCCUAAGGUGUAAAUCGAGAGUUCAAAUCUCUCCGGGCGCG